GGGCCCUUAGCUCAGUUGGUAGAGCAACUGACUUUUAAUCAGUAGGUCGUGAGUUCGAGCCUCACAGGGCCCACCA
rnacentral:tRNA from 4 species